UCAGUCCUCUAGAUAGUUCACGUAAAGGCGAUCUGUCUCCUCGUCGUACUGCCACGCCAGCUGGGCGCCAUCGGGAUCAUCUGCCUCUGGGGUACCUGUACCUGCUGGGAGUUUCGGAGGAAUCCGUGAGCCACGGGGACUCAGCAAUCUAAGACCUUGGUGCCAGAACUAGUCAUGUUANUCGUUUGUUUUCGUCCGUAGUCGGACCCUACUCUUACUCUUGAUGAUUAUGUAAUGUACUGAUGUGACUCUGACGUAGCUUGUGGCGAGUGUAAGCCAAUCCUAUAUAUAUCUCUUCUUUUCAGUACAUGUACUUGUAACGAUAUCCAUUCUUGCGACAUGACGAGAUGCGCUUCUAUCCCUGAUGAGGCCUUCGUGCCAAAUUGAGGAUAGGGUCGCAUCUUGGGCGUGACAUUGGCUCCCACAUGUUCCACCAUUAUCUCAACGGAUGAACCACGAUGUCAAGGAUUCACUCAAUCCCGUAUGCAAUUCCCUUUGUCUAUCGGUAUGAUACUUGCCCGAGAUUCGAUCGUCGGUAUCCCUAUACCUUGUUCAAUCUCAUUACCGGCAAGUCUCUUUACUCGUUCUGUAACACAGGAUCCCGUGGCUAACUCCUUAGUCACAUUGAUCUCAUUAUGAUGAUGUAUUGCCGAGUGGGCCUAGAGAUACCUCUCCGUCACACAGAGUGACAAAUCUGAGUCUUGAUUCGUACCAACCCAACAAACACUUUCGGAGAUACACUGUAGUGCACCUUUAUAAUCACCCAGUUAUGUUGUGACGUUUGAUACACCCAAAGCUCCUACGGUAUCCAGGAGUUUCGCAAUCUCAUGGUCUAAGGAAAUGAUACUUGACAUUAGAAAAGCUCUAGUAGACGAACUACACGAUCUUGUGUUAUGCUUAGGAUUGGGUCUUGUCCAUCACAUCAUUCUCCUAAUGAUGUGAUCUCAUUAGCAACGACAUCCAAUGUCCAUGGUCAGGAAAACAUGACCAUUUAUUGAUCAACGAGCUAGUCAACUAGAGGCUCACUAGUGACAUGUUGUGGUCUAUGUAUUCACACAUGUAUUAUGGUUUCCGGUUAAUACAAUUAUAGCAUGAACAAUAGACAAUUAUCACGAACAAGGAAAUAUAAUAAUAACCAUUUUAUUAUUGCCUCUAGGGUAUAUUUCCAACAGUCUCCCACUUGCACUAGAGUCAAUAAUCUAGUUACAUUGUGAUGAAUCGAACACCCAUAGAGUUCUCGUGCUGACAAUGUUUCACUCGUGGAAGAAGUUUAGUCAACGGACCUGCGACAUUCAGAUACGUAUGUACUUUACAAAUAUCUAUAUCUCCAUCCUGAAUGUAUCCACGAAUGGAGUUUGAAGCGGCGCUUGAUGUGCUUGGUCUUCUUGUGAAACCUGGGCUCCUUGGCAAUGGCAAUAGCUCCAGUGUUGUCACAGAAGAGAGUCAUCGGGCCCGACGCACUGGGAAUCACUCCUAGGUCGGUGAUGAACUCCUUCAUCCAGACUCCUUCCUGCGCUGCUUCCGAAGCAGCUAUGUACUCCGCUUCACAUGUCGAUACCGCCACAACGCUUUGCUUGCAACUGCACCAGCUGACUGCACCACCAUUUGAAAUAUACAUGUAUCAUGUUUGUGAUUUGGAGUCAUCCGGAUAUGUGUCAAAGCUAGCAUCGACGUAACCUUUACGACAAGAUCUUUGACACCUGCAUAAAUGAGAAACAUAUCUUUAGUCUUUUUCACGUACUUAAGGAUAUUCUUGACCGUUGUCCAGUGAUCCACUCCAGGAUUACUUUGGUACCUCCAUACCAAACUUAUGGCAAGGUUCACAUCAAGUCUGGUACACAGCAUGGCAUACAUAAUAGAGCCUAUGGCUGAAGCAUAGGGGACGAUACUCAUAUUUUCUCUAUCUUUUGCCAUGGUCGGGCAUUGAGAUGUGCUCAAUCUAACACCUUGCAAUACAGGCAAGAACCCCUUCUUGGACUUAUCCAUAUUGAACUUCUUCAAUAUCUUGUCAAGGUAAGUGUUUUGUGAAAGACCAAUGGGGUGUCUCGAUCUAUCUCUGUAGAUCUUGAUGCCUAAUAUGUAAGCACCUUCUCCAAGGUCCUUCAUUGAAAAACACUUAUUCAAAUAGGCCUUUAUGCUUUCCAAAAGUUCUAUAUCAUUUCCCAUCAAUAAUAUGUCAUCCACAUAUAAUAUGAGAAAUGCUACACAGCUCCCACACACUUUCUUGUAAAUACAUGCUUCUCCAUAAGUCUGUACAAACCCAAACGCUUUGAUCACCUCAUCAAAGCAAACGGUCCAACUCCGAGAUGCUUCCACCAGCCCAUAGAUGGAGCGCUGGAGCUUCCAUACCUUGUCAGCAUUUCUAGGAUCGACAAAACCUUGUGGCUGCAUCAUAUACAAUUCUUACUUAAGAAAGCCAUUAAGGAAUGCCGUUUUGAUGUCCAUUUGCCAGAUCUCAUAAUCAUAAAAUGCGGCAACUGCUAACAUGAUUCGGACGUACUUCAGCAUCGCUACGGGUGAUAAGGUCUCAUCGUAGUCAACUCCUUGAACUUGUCGAUAACCCUUAGCGUCAAGUCGAGCCUUAUAGAUGGUCACAUUACCAUCCGCAUCGGUCUUCUUCUUAAAGAUCCAUUUAUUUUCUCUGGCUCACCGAUCAUCGGGCAAGUCCACCAAAGUCCAUACUUUGUUCUCAUACAUAGAUCCUAUCUCGGAUUUCAUGGCUUCAAGCCAUUUGUUGGAAUCCGAGCCCGCCAUCACUUCUUCAUAGUUCGAAGGUUCACUGUUGUCUAACAACAUGAUUUCCAGGAGAGGGUUGCCAUACCACUUUGGUGCAGAACGUGUCCUCGUGGACCUACGAAGUUCAAUAGUAACUUGAUCCGAAGUUUCAUGAUCAUCAUCAUUAACUUCCUCUCGAGCCGGUGCAGGCACCUCAGAAACAUUUUUCUGUGCUGCGUUACUCUCCGGUUCGAGAGGUGGUACAAUUACCUCAUCAAGUUCUACUUUCCUCCCACUCACUUCUUUCGAGAGAAACUCUUCUUCUAGAAAGGAUCCAUUCUUGUCAACAAAUAUUUUGCCUUUGGAUCCGAGAUAGAAGGUAUACCCAAUAGUCUCCUUAGGGAAUCCUAUGAAGACACACUUUUUUGAUUUGGGUUCGAGCUUUCCAGGUUGAAGUUUCUUGACAUAAUCAUCGCAUCCCCAAACUUUCAGAAACGACAGCUUAGGUUUCUUCCCAAACCAUAAUUCAUACGGUGUCGUCUCAACGGAUUUAGACGGUGCCCUAUUUAAAGUGAAUGCGACAGUCUCUGAUGACCCACAAGUAUAGGGGAUCAAUCGUAGUCCUUUCGAUAAGUAAGAGUGUCGAACCCAACGAGGAGCACAAGGCUCUGAUAAACGGUUUUCAGCAAGGUAAUAACUGCAAGCAUUGAAAGUAGCGUUAACAAGUGAUGGUGUAGUCAGGUGAAACGUAGCAGGUGAAAAGUAACAAGUAACAAGUAGUAGCAACGGUGCAGCAAAGUGGCCCAAUCCCUUUUCUAGAAAGGGACAAGCCUGAACAAAGUCUUAUAAGAGGAAAAACGCUCCCGAGGACACAUGGGAAUUUCUUUCAUGCUAGUUUCAUCAUGUUCAUAUGAUUCGCGUUCGUUACUUUGAUAGUUUGAUAUGUGGGUGGACCGGCGCUUGGGUGCUGCCCUUACUUGGACAAGCAUCCCACUUAUGAUUAACCCCUCUCGCAAGCAUCCACAACUACGAAAGAAGAAUUAAGACAACGUCUAACCAUAGCAUUAAACUAGUGGAUCCAAAUCAGCCCCUUACGAAGCAACGCAUAGACUGGGGUAUAAGUUUCUGUCACUCUAGCAACCCAUCAUCUACUUACUACUCCCCAAUGCCUUCCUCUAGGCCCAAAUAUGGUGAAGUGUUAUGUAGUCGACGUUCACAUAACACCACUAGAGGAAAAACAACAUACAACAUAUCAAAAUACCGAACGAAUACCAAAUUCACAUGACUAUUAUUAGCAUGACUUAUCCCAUGUCCUCAGGAACAAAAGUAACUACUCACAAAGCAUAAUCAUAAUCAUGAUCAGAGGUGUAAUGAGUAGCAUCAAGGAUCUGAACAUAAACUCUUCCACCAAGUAAUCCAACUAGCAUCAACUACAAAGAGUAAUCAACACUACUAGCAACCUUACAAGUACCAAUCGGAGUCGCGAGACGGAGAUUGGUUACAAGAGAUGAACUAGGGUUUGGAGAGGAGAUGGUGCUGAUGAAGAUGUUGAUGGAGAUGACUCCCCUCCGACGAGGGGAGUGUUGGUGAUGAUGAUGGCGAUGAUUUCCCCCUCCGGGAGGGAAGUUUCCCCGGCAGGAUCGUCCUGCCGGAGCUCUAGAUUGGUUCUGCUCAAGUUCCGCCUCGUGGCGGCGGAGAAUCCAUGAGAAAGCUCCGCCCUGAUUUUUUUCUAGAUGAAACCCUUCAUAUGGCAGAAGAGGGGGGCCAGUGGGCCACCAGGGUGCCCACAAGCCCUGUUGCCGCGACCAGGGGGCAGGCCGCGGCCACCAGGCUUAUGGGCCCCUGGCAGCUCCCCUCUGACACUUCUUUCGCCCAGUAUUUUUAUAUAUUCCCAAAAAAUUCCACGUUGAUUUUCAGGGCAUUUGGAGUUGCGCAGAAUAGAGGACUCAGACUUGCUCCUUUUCCAGUCGAGAAUUUGGAGUUGCCGGUAUUCUCCCUCUUCAAAUAAACCUUGCAAAAUAAGAGAGAAAAGGCAUAAGUACGGUACCACAAAGUAUCUAUACCUAAUAAUAAAGCGGCUAUUGCUUCCGUCGGAAAACCCACCACGAUAUUUUUAUAAAAAAGCCCCUAUAAUUUUUGUUAUUCAACUCGCGUUCCAUCACUUAUCUGUAACGCAAAAGGAAAAAACGAUUCACUGCAAAAAUUAUACCCGUACGCAUCGCCUCCUCCCGUCGACCCUGGGCCACCCUGGCCCGUGCCCAGGCCGCCGCCACACCACUCGCCGCCGCGGCCGACCUCAAUCGCCACCGUUGCCGAUCUCAACCCACCUGCCUCCGCGGCUGUACCUCUCCCCGCUCACUGCCCCCGUUGCGGCGCUCGAGCGCAUCGCGUCGACCCUGGUCCACCCUGGCCUGUGCCUAGGCCGCUGCCACACCACUCGCCACCGCGGUCGACCUCAACCACCACUGUUGUCGAUCUCAACCAACCCGCCUCCGCGGUCGUACCUCUGCCUGCUUGCUGCCCCCGUUUCGGCGCUCGAGCACAGCUUCUGGAUCAAAACAACGCGAUAGCUACAGCGACUUGGGAUGAUGCGUCUGCUCGAUGCAGAACGGCGAUGGCGCGCGGAUAAGGCGCGAUGGAGCGAAGUACUUGCAGGUGGAGGCGGGCCUCCAUGGCUCACACGGGGAACUCCGAGGUUAUGGCGCGGCAACGACGACUCCUUAUGGCCAGAUAGAGGCGCCUAACCCUUGCCCCCCUCAAUGUAUCCCCUCCUCGGGUAGGAACUCAUCAUCUGGUGGAGAUCCUUGUAACGACCAAGAUGCGGUCCGUUCCGAUCUGGGGGUCGAGGCCCCGAAUAGGAAAGAAGCGCAUCUAAGUGUUUUGCAAGCAAGUAAACAUAGCACAUAAUAGUAAUUAAAGUAGACAAUCUGGGAUUCAACUGUCUUCUUGUUAAUAAUACAGCGUACAACGCAGAUACAAUCAAUGUAGUUCCGGUACGGACUACAAAACACGGAAAAUGCUAUGCUACCCGCUGCAGGCCCCCGAUCACGACCACGCCUCAGUCCUCUCGAUAGUUCACCUAAAGGCGAUCUGUCUCCUCGUCGUACUGCCACGCCAGCUGGGCGCCAUCGGGAUCAUCUGCCUCUGGGGUACCUGUACCUGCUGGGAGUUUCGGAGGAAUCCGUGAGCCACGGGGACUCAGCAAUCUAAGACCUUGGUGCCAGAACUAGUCAUGUUAUUGGGUAAGGAAGGGGUGAAGUGUUUCAGGUUGUUGCAUCCUAAGAUUGAACAAGUGGCUAGCUUACGCGAAAGAGAAGUGACAGUGCUCUAUACUAACGAUCGUGAUUACUUGAUCAGAAAGUGAUCCUGAACACAUACCUACGGCAUUCAUAACCCCACCGUAUUCCCGAUCGAAG
rnacentral:lncRNA from 1 species